rnacentral:lncRNA from 1 species
GUUAUGAUUCUGCUGGUAAAGCUGAUGUUUUUCUUCACUAACCCUCUGCCUCUGUCCUUUCCUACAGGCUUACUCUGAGUUUGUUCUGACCUACCUAGAGGAACUAAAUGAAAGAGGAGAUGACCCAGACAAAAAGCUGCAUUCACCAUUGGGCCUAGUCUUCAGUGCAUCAGGAGAUAGAAUCGGCAGCUCAGCUGAAGAGGUCACAGUAUUAAGCCAGAGGCAGGUUCUGCAAAAAAAUAUCAGCAAUCUCAAUCAGAAACAACUUUCAGGACCUUUGGACGCCCAUUUAAUGCCUGCAGAUCCCCUAGGGGAGACUACACAGCUGACAGUGGCACUGGUGAGGAAACUAGAAGAGAAACAUCCUAAGGCCUCAGCUCAAAGGUUAUGA